rnacentral:rRNA from 1 species
UGGGGAAUAUUGCACAAUGGGCGCAAGCCUGAUGCAGCAACGCCGCGUGAACGAUGAAGGUCUUCGGAUCGUAAAGUUCUGUUGCAGGGGAAGAUAAUGACGGUACCCUGUGAGGAAGCCCCGGCUAACUACGUGCCAGCAGCCGCGGUAAUACGUAGGGGGCUAGCGUUAUCCGGAUUUACUGGGCGUAAAGGGUGCGUAGGUGGUCUUUCAAGUCGGUGGUUAAAGGCUACGGCUCAACCGUAGUUAGCCUCCGAAACUGGAGGACUUGAGUGCAGGAGAGGAAAGUGGAAUUCCCAGUGUAGCGGUGAAAUGCGUAGAUAUUGGGAGGAACACCAGUAGCGAAGGCGGCUUUCUGGACUGCAACUGACACUGAGGCACGAAAGCGUGGGUAGCAAACAGG